GGGCGUGUAGCUCAGUGGGAGAGCGCUUGACUCACAUUCAAGAGGUCGGUGGUUCGAAACCACCCACGCCCA
rnacentral:tRNA from 1 species